rnacentral:ncRNA from 1 species
UUUAGAUAUUUUAUUUUAGUAUGAAAAUAAUGGCUUGAAAUUGAUUUUUACAUGUGAUUGUUUGAGUCAUAAUAAAAUGGAUCUAGAUGAUUUAUUUUAUAAUUUACAGUGUUUAAUAUUGUUAAUGUUCUAUUGUUAGAGAUACAGUCUUUUGUCAAAUUUGACUAGCAAAAAUUGUGCCAGCAGCUGCGGUUAUACAAUUAGUCAUUGGUCAUUAUUUUAGGGAUAUAUUUAUUUUAUUUAUAUUAAUUUUAAUUUAUUAUAUUUUGGAGUGAAAUUUGAAUAUUUAUUUUAUGAUUUGGUUAGUUAUAGAUUUAUAUAUGAAAUUUAUUAAAUAUAGACUAGGAUUAGAUACCCUAUUAUUUUAAACUUAAAUUUAAAUCUCUAGUAUUAAUAGUUAAGGUCUUUAAAUUAAAAGAAUUUGACGGUAAUUUAAUCUUUUCAGAGGAACCUGUCCUUUAAUCGAUAAUCCACGAUAAAUUUUACUUUAAUUUUGGUUUGUAUAUCUCUGUUUAUUGAGUGUUUUAUUAGAAAUAAUUCUCUUUAAUUUUUAUGUAAUUUUAUAUCAGGUCAAGGUGCAAUUAUAUUAAAGUUUGAGAUGGGUUACAUUUAUAUUAAAUUUUGGAUUAAUUAUUUAUUUUAGAUGUAUUGUUUUUAUGAAAUUGGAUUUGAUUGUAAUAAUUUUUAUAUUUUUAUUAUGAUAUUUGUUCUAGGUUAAGUACACAUCGCCCGUCGCUCUCAUUAUUAAAAUGAGAUAGUCGUACAAGUAGAUCUACCGG